rnacentral:rRNA from 1 species
AUUGCACGCUGGCGGCAGGCCUAACACAUGCAAGUCGAACGAGUGGCGGACGGGUGCGUAAUGUCUGGGAAACUGCCCGAUGGCGGGGGCUCACUCCUGGACACUGUAGCUAAUACCGCAUACCAUCGGAUGUGCCCAGAUGGGAUUCGCUAGUAGGUGGGGGAACGGCUCACCUAGUCGACUAUCCCUAGCUGGUCUGAGAGGAUGACCAGCCAAACGGGAACUGAGACACGGUCCAGACUCCUACGGGAGUCAGCAGUGGGGAAUAGUGCACAAUGGGCGCAAGCCUGAUGCAGCCAUGCCGCGUGUAUGAAGAAGGCCUUCGGGUUGUAAAGUACUUUCAGCGAGGAGGCGUGACUCGCAGAAGAAGCACCGGCUAACUCCGUGCCAGCAGCCGCGGUAAUUC